AUUGAACGCUGGCGGCAGGCCUAACACAUGCAAGUCGAGCGAGCGGCGGAUGGGUGCGUAAUGUCUGGGAAACUGCCUGAUGGAGGGGGAUAACUACUGGAAACGGUAGCUAAUACCGCAUACCAUCAGAUGUGCCCAGAUGGGAUUAGCUAGUAGGUGGGGUAACGGCUCACCUGGGCGACGAUCCCUAGCUGGUCUGAGAGGAUAACCAGCGAACCUGGGCGUGAGACACGGUCCAGACUCGUAAGGGAGGCAGCAAUGGGAACUAUUGUCCACUGGGCGCAAACCUGAUGCAGCCAUGCCGCGUGUGUGAAGAAGGCCUUCGGGUUGUAAAGCAAUUUCAGCGGGGAGGCGUUACCCGAAGAAGAAGCACCGGCUAACUCCGUGCCAGCAGCCGCGGUAAUAC
rnacentral:rRNA from 1 species